GACUGCCACGUGAUUAUGACGCAAUUGCUUCCGAUUGCUUUGAGGGGGCUCCUGCCGGAAAAUGUUCGAGUAGCCAUUGUGAAGCUAUGUGCAUUCCUCAAUGCAAUCUCUCAGAAGGUAAUCAAUCCAGAAGUUCUACCACGGUUACAGAACGAUGUGAUCCAAUGCCUUGUCAGUUUCGAGUUGGUGUUCCCGCCAUCCUUCUUCAAUAUUAUGACGCACCUCCUGGUUCACCUAGUCGAAGAGAUUUUCGUUCUCGGUCCUGUAUUUCUACACAAUAUGUUCCCCUUCGAGAGGUUCGUGGGAGUAUUAAAGAAAUAUGUUCGUAACCGUGCUAGGCCAGAAGGAAGCAUCGCCAAGGGCUAUGGAAAUGAGGAGGUAAUUGAGUUUUGUGUUGACUUUGUUCCUGACCUUAAGCCGAUUGGUCUUCCUCGAUCGCGGCACGAGGGGAGACUAAGUGGAAAAGGCACGAUCGGAAGGAAAUCAACGAUAUGUAUGGACGGCCAUUCUCUGACUGAAGCACACCACACUGUACUGGCCAAUUCCAGCUUGGUGGCUCCGUACUUUGAGAAACACAAGAAUAUUUUACGCUCGGACAACCCGGGGAAGCCUGAAUCCUGGAUUAGGAAGGCCCACAUGGAGACUUUCGGCAGUUGGUUGAGAAAACAU
rnacentral:rRNA from 1 species